rnacentral:rRNA from 1 species
UACAGAGGUCCCGAGCGUUGUUCGGAUUCAUUGGGCGUAAAGGGUGCGUAGGCGGCGAGGUAAGUCUGAUGUGAAAUCCCGGGGCUCAACCCCGGAACUGCAUUGGAUACUGCUUUGCUAGAGUACUGGAGAGGGAACUAGAAUUUACGGUGUAGCAGUGAAAUGCGUAGAGAUCGUAAGGAAGGCCAGUGGCGAAGGCGAGUUCCUGGACAGUUACUGACGCUGAGGCACGAAGGCCAGGGGAGCAAACGGG